AGUGAUCAUAAGAUCAUUAUCUUUAACUGAAUACAUAGGUUAAGGAGGCAAACCUAGGGAACUGAAACAUCUAAGUACCUAGAGGAAAAGAAAUCAACCGAGAUUCCCUUAGUAGCGGCGAGCGAACGGGGAUUAGCCCUUAAGCAUUAAUUAAGUUAGUAGAACACUCUGGAAAGUGUGGCCAUAGACGGUGAUAGCCCGGUAUACGAAAACUUUUUUAGUGUGAAAUCGAGUAGGUCGGAGCACGUGAAACUCUGACUGAACAUGGGGGGACCAUCCUCCAAGGCUAAAUACUCCUUACCGACCGAUANNNNNNNNNNGAGUGAAAUAGAUCCUGAAACCGUAUGCGUACAAGCAGUGGGAGCAUGUCUUCGGACGUGUGACUGCGUACCUUUUGUAUAAUGGGUCAGCGACUUAAUCUUAGUGGCAAGCUUAACCGAAUAGGGGAGGCGUAGCGAAAGCGAGUCUUAAUAGGGCGAAUUAGUCGCUAGGAUUAGACCCGAAACCGGGCGAUCUAUCCAUGGCCAGGUUGAAAGUGGGGUAAUACCUACUGGAGGACCGAACCCACUUAUGUUGAAAUAUGAGGGGAUGAGUUGUGGAUU
rnacentral:rRNA from 1 species